AGGAUGAACGCUGGCGGUCUGCUUAACACAUGCAAGUCGAACGGAGUACCUCGGUACUUAGUGGCGGACGGGUGAGUAACGCGUGAGAAUCUGCCCUUAGGUCGGGGACAACCAUUGGAAACGAUGGCUAAUACCGGAUAAGCCGAGAGGUAAAAGAUUAAUUGCCUAGGGAAGAGCUCGCGUCUGAUUAGCUAGUUGGUGAGGUAACGGCUCACCAAGGCAACGACGGGUAGCUGGU
rnacentral:rRNA from 1 species